rnacentral:lncRNA from 1 species
GCAGAAUGUCAGUUUAGUCAGUUAGAACUUUCAAUGCAGAAAUUCAGUGCCAUGCAGUCACGCAGAUCGAGAGCAGCACUUACCUUAAUUGAAAUAUUCUCUGUGAACGAGCAUAUUCAAGGUCUUUCUUCCGAAUAUGGGCAAACAAGACACUGAGUAGAAAGAAUAUGCCACUUAGACCUGAAACCACUUUACUACCCUGACUGUGGACAUCAAUGAACAGCUCUAAAACUUGAAGUGUAAGAAGACUUAACUUACGUUAAAACAAGUGAAUUUUCUCUAGCAAGGGACAGAAGAGGAAGUCAAAGAUUUGAAACAAGAGGGUAUUGUUGCUGGCUUGAAGAUGGAGGAGGAAGGGGCCUGCUGAGUGACCACUACUAUUUGAAGGAGACUCCUAGCUGACCGCCAGCAAGAAAAUGGGGACCUCAGUCCUACACUCAUGGGAACUUACUUCUGCCAACAGCCUGAAUGAGCUUGAAAGCUGACUCUUCCUGGGAGCCUCCAGAUAAGAGGCCAGCCUGGUUGAAACCUUGACUUCCACAUUGGGACACCCCAGUCAAAGACCCAGAUGAGCCUGCCCAGACUUCUGGAAUACAGAAAUAUAUGCUUCCAAAUGUAAAGACACAGUCAAAGAGAAGUGAGUUUGUAUCAUGAUUGGAUCCAGGAAUUAAAGAUUUUGGAAAGAAAAAGGAUACUAGUUGAAGAUGAGAAGACAUGGUUUCUGUCUUCCAGGAACUCUCAAUCAAUUGGAAAGACUGCUAUGAAAACAACUUUAUAAUACAAAUUGGGAAAAAAUGUGCUAAAAUAGAAACUAACUCAAUUGGUGUCCCCCUGACUCUGGACAAUAACAGCCUCCACUCAAAAGGAGUGUUUCCUAUGCUCAAGGAGCUCUAAGAUAGGAUAGAAGGGAGAGGAAAUUUGGACAUGAGCGGAGACACCGGGAAUGUACCUACAGAGAAAAGAACAUGUGAAGACUCAGCAAGAAAGACGCCAUCUGCCAGCCAAGGACAAGUCUCAGAAGAAAGAAAACCUGCCAACACCUUGAUCAGGGACUUCUAACCUCUGGAACAGUUUAAGGAAAAUGAGACUCAGCAUGAGAGAGAAAGAGGUUGGAGGUGGACAUACGAAGAAUCAACUGGUUAAAAAUGAAGUGUUUUAAGUCACAGAAGAGCUUUAAACAAUCCAUUUGCCUAAGAACCAUCUGUGUGACAUCAACAAACUUACUUUACCUCUCUGAGUUUUAUUUACCAAAUAUUUAAAAUGUUACUAAUAAAACAUCAUAGAAAUUAAA